AGGUAUCUCUUUCUUCUUGUCUAUCACAUUAUAUUUCUUGGGUUUUGGUAUGUUUUUCUUUUUUCUCGCGUCGCUGGCGAAAGGAAGGAGAUCCUGACCAUUCUUCAAAAUUGUGCCGUUCUCGGUAUAGCCAUCGGCGUGCUUUACGGUCUGUGAGCGACAAAAGAGGGAGAGUGUGUACGAAGAAGAGAACCAGAGCGACAGA